UACGGAGGGGGCAAGCGUUAUCCGGAUUCACUGGGUUUAAAGGGUGCGUAGGUGGGUUGGUAAGUCAGUGGUGAAAUCCCCGAGCUUAACUUGGGAACUGCCAUUGAUACUAUCAGUCUUGAAUACCGUGGAGGUCAGCGGAAUAUGUCAUGUAGCGGUGAAAUGCUUAGAUAUGACAUAGAACACCAAUUGCGAAGGCAGCUGGCUACUCGGAUAUUGACACUGAGGCACGAAAGCGUGGGGAUCAAACAGG
rnacentral:rRNA from 1 species